rnacentral:rRNA from 1 species
AGUGAACGCUGGCGGUAGGCCUAACACAUGCAAGUCGAACGGCAGCACAGUAAGAGCUUGCUCUUACGGUUGGCGAGUGGCGGACGGGUGAGGAAUACAUCGGAAUCUACUUUUUCGUGGGGGAUAACGUAGGGAAACUUACGCUAAUACCGCAUACGACCUACGGGUGAAAGCAGGGGAUCUUCGGACCUUUCGCGAUUGAAUGAGCCGAUGUCGGAUUAGCUAGUUGGCGUGGUAAAGGCCCACCAAGGCGACGAUCCGUAGCUGGUCUGAGAGGAUGAUCAGCCACACUGGAACUGGGACACGGUCCAGACUCCUACGGGAGGCAGCAGUGGGGAAUAUUGGACAAUGGGCGCAAGCCUGAUCCAGCCAUACCGCGUGGGUGAAGAAGGCCUUCGGGUUGUAAAGCCCUUUUGUUGGGAAAGAAAAGCAGCAGGUUAAUACCCCGCUGUUCUGACGGUACCCAAAGAAUAAGCACCGGCUAACUUCGUG